UUAACCAACAGAAGGAAUACAUUAAGGUUUAAUAGUUGAUAUGAUUUCAAACCCGUAUGCUAAGUAUGUGAUAUUUAAGUUGCAAGUUAGCAUUUUUGUUGAUGCUUGGCCUAAACAAGGAGGAUGAAGAAGACAAUAUGUGAUUAAAGGUCCUCUAAGUGAGUUAAGUGAACCUCAACAAGUUCAAGCACAUAGGGAAACCAGCAGCGGUAUUUCGUCAAGAACAUGUAUUCACAAUCGCUGAAAUCCUCAACAAAUACACUCAAGACAAUACGCUAUGCCCCUUGCCUUACUAACAUCAAAGACAUGGCCUUUGGUUGUGGACAUCAGGUGGGAAGCUUUAAAUUGUGUUGCCUUAUUAUAGUGGAGAGCGUGAUGAAUGAAGAAGCUGAGAAGUAAGUCUUUUAAAAGCUGCCGACAAUGAAGAAUAGGUAGGUUGAACCCAAAAAAGGCCCUCGUCCAUCUUUUGCACAACUUGUCUACAUAUCACUCUACAUGUUAGUAUGCUAAGUUGUGAUAAAUUUUAAAUAGCACAACAUUUUGUAUAGCUUCGUUUUGUACACCUUUCAUAUAUAAGUUAGGCGAUGCAGCUAUGAAACGUCGGUGUAACAAAUACUCGGUUUUAUUUAG